AGUAAAGUCGUAACAAGGCUUCCGUAGGUGAACCUGCGAAGGAUCAUUAUAAUGGUCUACGUUUUUUAAGUAGACGCUUAAUAAUCCUACCCUUUGUGAAUUUGUUGUUUUGAAAUAAUUUUUUUUAAAAUUAUUGAUUGUCUUUCCUGUUGAAUUGGUUGUCUUAAUGCAAUGAUUCGCAGGGAGUGUCAGUAUUUUUAAAAGACCUUUUUUAAAAUUAACUUUUGUAUUCAUUUGUCUAAAUUAUUUUAUAAUAUAAAAAACUUUUGACAAUGGAUCUCUUGGUUCUCGCAACGAUGAAGAACGCAGCAAAAUGCGAUAAGUAGUGUGAAUGCAGAAUACGUGAAUCAUCGAAUCUUCGAACGCAUAUGCACUUUUUAGUUACUAAAAAGUAUGUCUGUUUGAGUAUCAGUAAAUAUUCUCAUAAAACUUUUGUUUUAUGUUAUGAGUGUUUUACAACGAUACAAGUGUUUCACUUUAAAUUUUUUUAAAAUUUGAAUUUUCUAAUUUUAAAUAAAUUGGAUAAAAUUUCUCGUAAAAAGGAAUAACUAAAACAAUUUAAUUUUUGAUUAGAAUCUUCAAUUAUAAGGAAAUUUAACUAAAUAACUUGAUCUCAAAUCAGAUAAGAGUACCCGCUGAACUUAAGCAUAUCAAUAACGGAGGAAAGAAACUAACAAGGAUUCCUUAGUAACGGCGAGUGAAGCGGAAGAGCUCAAAUUGAAAUCUUCAAGGUUUACCUUGACGAAUUGUAGUUUAAAGAAGUGUUUUCUGUUGAAGUUUGGUAAAAGUUCUUUGGAUAGGACAUCAUAGAGGUGAGAUCCCGUAUUGACCAUUAUUUCAGCUGUGUGAUACACUUUCAAGAGUCGAUUGUUUGGAAUGCAGUCCAAAUGGUGGUAAAUUUCAUCUAAAGCUAAAUAUUGCGAGAGACCGAUAGCGAACAAGUACGUGAGGGAAAGAUGAAAGAACUUGAAAAGAGUAAACAGUACGUGAAAUUGUCAAAAGGAAGCGUUUGACACAGUGUUGUUUUCUCGAAAAUCAAUUAAAAAAGUUGGAUUUUGUGGUGUAUUGACCUAACAGCUUGCUUCACUCUUUUCUUGCUUUUUUAAUGCACUUUUCGUUUAACAAGUCAACAUCAGUUUCUUUGUUGUAAAGGUCAUUGGAAGGUGGCUUCUCUUCGGAGAAAGUGUUUAUAGCCUUGAUCUCUGCAAUCGGAGAGUCUGAGUCUGCAGCGUAGAUCCUUCGGGUUAGAUACAUUUGUGCUAAGCUACAGCUUUCAUAGACAACUUGUUGACUAUGUUUAGUCUUGUAACUUACCCGCUUAUGCUAUUUACCUACGCUUAGGAUGUUG
rnacentral:misc_RNA from 1 species